rnacentral:rRNA from 1 species
GACGAACGCUGGCGGCGUGCUUAACACAUGCAAGUCGAACGGUGAAGCGCCUUCCUUUUUGGUGGGUGUGGAUGAGUGGCGAACGGGUGAGUAACACGUGAGUAACCUGCCCCCUUCUUCUGGAUAACCGCAUGAAAGUGUGGCUAAUACGGGAUAUUCUGGGUCUGUCGCAUGAUGGGUCUGGGAAAGAUAUUGUUUCGGUGGGGGAUGGGCUCGCGGCCUAUCAGCUUGUUGGUGGGGUGAUGGCCUACCAAGGCGGUGACGGGUAGCCGGCCUGAGAGGGUGGACGGUCACACUGGGACUGAGACACGGCCCAGACUGCUACGGGAGGCAGCAGUGGGGAAUAUUGAACAAUGGGCGCAAGCCUGAUGCAGCGACGCCGCGUGAGGGAUGGAGGCCUGCGGGUUGUGAACCUCUUUCGCCAGUGAAGCAGGCCUGCCUCGUUUGUGGGUGGGUUGACGGUAGCUGGAUAAGAAGCGCCGGCUAACUACGUG